AUUGAACGCUAGCGGGAUGCUUUACACAUGCAAGUCGAACGAGUGGCGGACGGGUGAGUAAUAUAUCUGAACGUGCCCAUUAGCGGGGGAUAACUACUCGAAAGAGUGGCUAAUACCGCAUACUUUUGGAGCGGCCGAUAUCCGAUUAGCUAUUUGGUGGGGUAAAGGCUCACCAAGGCAAAGAUCCGUAGCUGGUUUGGGAGGACGACCAGCCACACUGGGACUGAGACACGGCCCAGACUCCAACGGGAGGCAGCAGUGGGGAAUUUUGGAAAAUGGGGGAAACCCGGAUCCAGCCAGCCCGCGGGUAUGAGAAGGCCUUCGGGUUGUAAAGUACUUUUGGCAGGGAAGCGGUAUCUGCAGAAUAAGCACCGGCUAACUACGUGCCAGCAGCCGCGGUAAUAC
rnacentral:rRNA from 1 species